rnacentral:rRNA from 1 species
GACGAACGCUGGCGGCGUGCCUAACACAUGCAAGUCGAGCGAGAGACUUCGGUCUCUAGCGGCGGACGGGUGAGUAACACGUGGGUAACCUGCCUCAUAGAGGGGGAUAGCCUUCCGAAAGGAAGAUUAAUACCGCAUAACAUCAGAUUGUCGCAUGGCAGUUUGAUCAAAGGAGUAAUCCGCUAUGAGAUGGACCCGCGGCGCAUUAGCUAGUUGGUGAGGUAACGGCUCACCAAGGCCACGAUGCGUAGCCGACCUGAGAGGGUGAUCGGCCACAUUGGAACUGAGAUACGGUCCAGACUCCUACGGGAGGCAGCAGUGGGGAUUAUUGCACAAUGGGCGAAAGCCUGAUGCAGCAACGCCGCGUGAGUGAUGAAGGCCUUCGGGUUGUAAAGCUCUGUCUUUGGGGACGAUAAUGACGGUACCCAAGGAGGAAGCCACGGCUAACUACGUGCCAGCAGCCGCCGUAAAAC